UCAAGGAAAGUGUACUAAGAAAACAUUCUAUCGUUCAUAUUUUGUGUUUCCUGAAUACUAUUACUGUUACAUUGGAGCUCUAGUGCGGCGAACAUGGCAGAGAAAACAUGUCUUGUGGGAGAUGGUGAAAGAGGAUAGAGAAGCAACUAGAACACUCUUCGAUAUCGGAAAAUACGGUGGAUGCGUAGCUAAAGCAGAACUGGGAGGCUGGAAGAAACCUCCAUCAAAAUGGCCAAGCAUCUAUCUCCGCUGGCGACAAUACGAACCACCCACCAUUUCAGAUACUCAGAUCCGACCCAGUUGAGACGGAAGAAGCUGUGUUGCGUUUGCAUCCAUUUUCAGUCCCCACUUCAACUUCUCCACCUGGAGAGGCCUAAAGUUCCAGUCCUGAAGUAGAAUCAACAGAGACAGAAAAUGCCACGAAGCAUAACAGAGUUGAAUACUAACUAAAUCCCAAACACUGAGGUGAUGCAAAUCACAAGAGAAAGAGAGAAUGAUUGCGUUAACUCAACAUGUUGAGAUAUUUGAUUCAAACUACUGACUUAAUAACCUUAUUAUCUUCAAAAGCCUCUCCGAACACAAUAUUGAAGGGCUGCCGCGCACUCGUAGUCAAGCAUCUUGCAUCCUCACCCUUCUCUGCAUCAAAUUUCCCAAUAUCCAAACAACUUUGUAUGCCAUUAUUGACGCAGAACACAAGCUUGUACCCACUUCAGUAUUUCUCAAUCUGAAAUUUACCAUUAGGAACUUGUCCCUCACCACCAAUUCAAAUGUUUGUGAUCAAAUGCAGAGAAUUCAAAAACUUAGAAUUAUUAUUUUUUAAUCAGUCCAGAUAACAUUACUACUAUGAAUGUAUGAAUUAGCAUUAAUAUUCCCAUAACCCAAUAUUAUAUGCCAUCUCCUAUCUUAAUUCUCAAGAUAAUCAAUUCAUAAAAUCCACGUCACUUGGAAAUUAAUAUAAAAUUGCAUAAAUUGUAUAACACAACCUGAAGAAGUAUCAUUGUUGGAGACUUUCAACAUCUUCAAAAAUGUUAGACUCACCAAUGAUUCCCUCUUGGCCAAAAAUAUUUUCAACAACUUCAUCUAUCAUAACCAAUUGAAAUACAAUCAAACAACUAGUCUAUAGUUAAUCAUUUAGUGUAAAGUAAUUUUAAAUAUAAUAACAUAUAAACUUAUUGCCAGGAUUUUCAAAAAAUUCAUAUAGUCAAUUUUGAGUACAAAUCAACAUUUGCACACGCUUAGUAAGAAGGGAGCUUCUAUAUUUCGAAAGUACACGCCCACCUUUUCUAAAAACUGACUUUGAUGCCACUGUAAUAAAGGAAAUACUAAACACAUCACAAGCCAUUAUAGACAAUAUAGCAAAUCUAUUCUCAUCAGUCUUCCAAUGUUUGGGCACAUCAAAAUCUUCACUGUCUACAUCUUCAUCUAUGGUUAGUUCACAUAAAUAACCAUCUAUCUUGUUCUUGCAAAUGAUAGAUUUUGAUUUAUUUCGAUACAUUUUAAGAUCCUACAAUGCAUUACAUAUUAAUUAUGAAAAUGAGAAAAAAGUGAAACAAUGAACAUUAGUAUAAAAUGUUUACUGAAAUAAUCCUCUCUUCAACUUUUUCCCUUUGGUUGGACUGAGACAUAUGGAUUUAGUAGGUGAUUGGGAAAGAGAAACACUGAGAUAUACAAGUUCUUUACAUAUUCUUUAAACAACCUCUUGAACCUCUCUAACACUUUUUCUUUUUUUUCUUUCUUUGCAUAGGUCAGAUGAUCUCAUUUCUUAUAAAAAUAUGCUAUAAAACCAACCUUUAGUCGUGAGUCAAGAAUAGCUUCAAAAGCUAACCAAUACUCUACUCCUCCCAAUACUUUUGAAACUUCUCUUUCAUAUUACAAGUCAUAUCCUUUAAGGUGACAUCUUCAUUCAACAAAUUCUCUUGAAUGAUAAGUUGAAUUUUCCAAAUUUGCAUAAAAUACAAGUUUGAAGUGGGAUAAGAUGAACCAGACAUCAUGUUUGUAAUCUCAUAAAAUGGUUCUAAGAAUUGACAUAUUUUCUCUCCCCAGUUCCAUUUUUCAUAAGAUGGACAAUUUUUAUAAUUUCUAUCAACCACCUUGAGAAUUUCAAAAGUUUUUCUAUAUUUGAUUGCACUUUCAAGAAUUAAAAUAGGUUGAAUUUCAUCUUGUAGUCACAUCUAAUCUCAAACAAAUGCUCAUAUUUAUGCUCACAUCACUAACACAUCUUUUGAAUUCGAGAGUGCUACCAUCCAAUGAUUUAACAUACUUAAUACUCUCCAAUACUAUGAAGUGUUUUGUUAAACACCUUUAAACCACCUUGAACCAUCACAUUAAGAGUGUGAGCACAACAUCAUACAUGGAAAAACUCACCAUCACAUAAUAAAUUUUUAUGAACACAAAGAUGACUUUUUAGAAUGUCUUACAAAUUAUUAUUGGCAGAAGCAUUGUCCAGGAUAAUUAAGAAAAUUUUCUUAUCAAUACCUCAUUGUUUUAGGCAAUCAACCAUAAUGUUUUCUAGUUCAACACAUGUAGGUGGUGGUUUCAUUCGACAAAAGUUAAGAAUCUUAUUAAUUUACAAUUUUCAUCAACUAAGUAUGUAGUUAAACAAAUAUAUCCCUCAGAAGUAAUUCUAGUCCAAACAUCAAAGGUUAAACAAAUUCUAUUAGGAAUCCUAGACAUGAUUUGCUUAACUUUAUCUUCUAUUGGAUGCAUUCCUUUUUCACAUCUAAAGCAGUAUUCUUCCUACAUUUCAUGUCAACAUUAGGAUUAAUGUAUUUUAUCCACCUUAUGAUUCCUUCAUAUUCUACAAAAUUAUAAAGAAGACCAUGUUUAAUUAUGGCUCUCGUAAGUAACUUAUGAUGAAUCUUUUGAUUAAUUUUUCGUGUCCCAAACUUUUCUUUUUUAGAAAGAUUCAGAUCCACAUCUAAGUUUGCAAUACUUUACACUUAUUGACAUGCUGACUUAAAUGUAAAGUUCCAUAAUUGUUUUUAGUAAUAGGGUGUUUUCCAACUUUGUAGUUUUUGCCACAAUACUUACUUGUAGCCUUUUCAAUGUCAUCCUCGCCUUUUCCUAUUAGAAAGUUCCAAACAUUUGAGACUUUUUUUAUUUGUGGUAGCAUUUUCAGAUGUACUAGGAGUUUCAGAUGUAAGAUCAUCAACCAAAAUCAAAGGAUUACUCUUAGUGUGCUUCAUAUUUAAAAGCUAUUACACAUAGCUAUUGAUUGACAAAUUUAAAAACCAUUGCAGAUGGGAGUUUUGCUGAAUGUUAGGGAGUUUUUUGAGUGAUGAAUGUGGGAUGGUUGUUUUCCAAACAUUUCCAUGCGCAAUGGUUUUUAAAUUUGCCAAACAAUAGCUAUGUGCAAUAGCUUUUAAAUAUGGACCACACUAAGAGUAAUCCUUUCAUUUUGGUUGAUGAUCUUGCAUCUAAAACUCUUGGUACAUCUGAAAGUGUUACCACAAAUAAAAAAAAGUCUCAAUGUUUGGAUUUUUUUCACAAAAGUAGGAAAAACGAGGAUGAUAUUGAAAAGGCUACAAGCAAGUAUUGUGACAAAAUCUCCAAAGUUAGAAAAUACCCUAUUACUAAAAACAAUUAUGGAACUUCACAUUUAAGUCGGCAUGUCAUUGCGUGUAGAAGUAUUGCAAACAUAGAUGUGGAUAUGAAUCUUUAUCAAGAAGGAAAGUUUGGGAUACGAAAAAUCAACCAAAAGAUUCAUCAUAAGUUUCUUGCGACAACCAUAACUAAACAUAGUUUUCUUUAUAAUUUUGUAGAAUAUGAAGGAAUAAGAGAUGGAUAAAAUACAUUAAUCCUAAUGUUGACAUGAAAUGUAUAAACACUAUUGCAGAUGUGGAAAGGGAAUACAUUGAACAUUAGGAUAAAGUUAAGCAAAACAUGUCUAAGAUUCCUAAUAGAAUUUGUUUAACCUCUGAUGUUUGGACUGCAAUUACUUUUGAGGGAUACAUUUGUCUAACUACACACUUUAUUGAUGAAAACUAGAAAUUAAUAAGAUUUUUAACUUUUGUCGAACAAAACCACCACCCACGGGUGUUGAACAAGAAAACAUUGUGUUUGAUUGCUUAAGACAAUGAGGUAUUGAUAAGAAAAUUUAUUAAUUACCCUGGACAAUGCUUCUGCCAAUAAUAAUUUGCAAGACAUUAUGAAAAGUCAUCUUUGUGUUCAUAGAAAUUUAUUAUGUGAUGGUGAGUUUUUCCAUGUAUGAUGUUGUGCUCACACUCUUAAUGUGAUUGUUCAAGAUGGUUUAAAAGUUCUUGGCAAAGCACUUCAUAGUAUUAGAGAGAGUAUUAAUUAUGUUAAAUCAUUGGAUGUAAGAACUCUCAAAUUCAAAGAAUGUGUUAGUGAUGUUGGCAUAAAUAUGCAUUUGUUUGAGAUUAAAUGUGACUACAAGAUGAAAUUCGACCUAUUUAAUUCUUGAAAGUGAAAUCAAAUAUAAAGAAGCUUUUGAAUUGAUAAAAGUUGUCCAUCUUAUCAGGAAUGGAAUAGGGGAGAGAAAAUAUGUUAAUUCUUAUAACCAUUUUAUAAGAUUACAAAUAUGAUGUAUAGAUCAUCUUAUCCCACUUCAAACUUGUAUUUUAUGCAAAUUUGGAAAAUUCAAGUAAUCAUUGAAGAGAAUUUGUUGAAUGAAGAUGUCACCUUAAAAGAUAUGACUUGUAAUAUGAAAGAGAAAUUUAGUGGAAGGAGUACAGUACGAAGUUAGUUUUUGGAGUUAUUCUUGACCCACAACUAAAGGUUGAUUUUAUAAUGGAUUAUAAAAAAUUGGAUACUCUGACCUAUGUAGAGAAAACAAAGAAAGUAUUAGAAAAGUUCAAGAUGUUGUUUAAAAAAUAUGUAAAGUUCUUGUCUAUUCCUAGUGUUUCUCUUUUCCAAUCACCUACUGAAUCCAUCUUGAUGUCUCAAUCCAAUACCGAAAGAAAGAGGUGAAGAGAUCAAUGAUUAUUUCGGUAAACAUUUUUUACCUAGUAUUUAUUGUUUUCAUUUUUUCUAGUUUCGUUUUGAUAAGUGAUAUGUAUUGUAAGAUUUUAAAAUGUAUCAGAAUGAAUUCAAAUCUAUACUUGGCAAGAACAAGAUAUAUGCCUAUUUAGAUGAACCAACAAUAGAUGAGGAUGAAGAUAGGGAAGAUUUUGUUGUGCUCAAAUAUUUGAAAACUAAUGAGAAAAAUAUAAUGUAUUAUGGCUUGAGAUGUGUUUAGUUUUCCCAUGUGAGAUUAGAGUUAGCUUUUAGCAAAGGUGGGUGUGUACUUUUGAAGUAUAAAAGCUUCGUUUUUCUUGAGCGUGUGCAAAUGUUGAUUUAUACUCAAAAUUGGCUAUAUGGAUUUUUUGAAAAUCCUAACCGUAAGUUUAUAUGUUAUUAUUUUUAAAAUUAUUUUACAUUAAAUGAUUAACUAUAGACUAUAUUUGAUUAUAUUUCAAUUGGUUAUGAUAGAUGAAGUUGUUGAAGACAUUUUUGGCCACGAGAGAAUCGUUAGUGAAUCUAAAUUCUUUGAAGAUAUUGAAAGUCACCGACAAUGAUAGUUCUUUAGAUUCUUUUAUCAAUUUAUGUAAUUUUAUAUUAAUUUCCAAAUGACAUGGAUUUUAUACUAGCAGCAGCCAAGACCUCUUGAGUCUGCAGAAACAAUUCAUCCAAAGGGAUGCAACAACCAACAGACUGGAGUUAAAUUUACAAAAGGCACAACAGCACAUGAAGUGGCAGAUUAAAAAAGAAAGCUGAUGCUGUUAGAGAUUGGUGAUAUGGUACUCGUAUAACUUCAGCCCCAUGGACAACAUUUCAUGUUGCUAAGGAAAAAGCAGAAACUCAGUCUUCGCUAUUUUGGACCUUUUCCUAUAAUUGAGAUGACUGGGGAAAUAGCUUAUAAACUUCUCUUGCCUUCGUCUGCAAAAAUUCACCAAGUCUUUCAUCGUUCACAGCUCAAAUUGUGUAAGGGUGAUCAUGCUCAGCCAUAUGUACCAUUUCCCAUUACAAAUUCAGAUACUGGAUCGGUGUUACAGCCAGAAGCCAUAUUACAAACAAGAGUUCAGGAAUUAACAAGUGCAAUAACAUUUAAUCAAGUGGGAAGGUUUGGAAGAUAGUCAAGCAACUUGGGAGGAUGUCACUGCCAUAAUGCAGGCUUUUCCAAAAUUCAACCUUGAUGACAAGGUUUCUUUUAAAGGAGAAGUAAUGUAACAAAUGUAGCUGCAAAGAGGUUGAUUCAAGAGAAUAAUGGGACCAAAGAAAAGGGACACGUGACAAGCAAUUAAACAAAAAGGUGCAGCGAUAUGCCUAAAAUAACCAAUUGUAAGCUGGCUGAAUUUGAGUGGUCCAAGACAUUAGAAUAUGAAGGUAGUUAGAGGAGAAAGAAAGGGGGAUGGUUGAACAUGUGUUGAAAUGAAAAAUUACCUUCUGAAGGAAAUGGUUUUUACAUGAAGGCGAAUGUCAAAGAUGUUUGUGGACGCUAAGGGUGGAGAGGCAAUAUUAAAAAUGAAGCAUGAAAUGGGAAAGGAGAGAAAUUUAUAUAUCUUUAACUAACAUAAUGUACUUUCUGGGAAGUAUGUAAUCAGUAUUGUUCUUUCCAUAGUAUAUUCAAAAGCGAUUUAUGCUCUAGACAUCGAGAAAAGAUUCACAUCAA